rnacentral:lncRNA from 1 species
CGUCCAGGCCAAAAAAGGCAAAAGGCUGCCACGCUCGCUUACGGGGAGUGCGACACCUUUCACUUUAGGAGGAGCAUGGUGCUGCUGCUCCCUCAUCCUGGGUCCAGGUCUGAGCGGGGGCGUCGCAUCUCCAUGUCUGAAAGCCCCAGAUGGAAUCAUUCCAUCGUGAGGUUCUCUGCAUUCCAAUCUCUUUGGAACUAACUCGAUGUGGCACAUCGUGCGGCUCUCCCUCAAUUAAUAGUUCGGUUUCGUAAUAUAUGUAAGUAAGUAAAUAAAUAAAUGGUGCGGUUGAGUUGGUGAUGAAGAGCUAUCAUGAUUGUCGCAUUGGAUGUGGCUCGGUUGUCUUGAUGAAGCUCUAUGUCUUAAAGGAUUGUUUGGGGGUGGGCCUGGAUUAAUGGAAUUCCGUUGUGUGCGGUUUGGAUGUGAAAGUGUGAUGAGGGCGUGAUGGAGAAAAGGAUCCGUGGAUGGAGCCAAAAAGUGUUCGAAAAAG